AAAUUCCGCUAGCCGCGUGGGUGAGAAGCUGCGUUCAGGUUCGAGCCGAGCGAAGCGAGACGACAACGCACUCGCGUUGCCCGAAGGGUGAGAAAAUAUUUCGUGCUCAGCCGCA
rnacentral:sRNA from 1 species